AAACAUUGUUUAUAAAAAUUUUUAUAAAUACAACCUGCUCAAUGAAAAAUUUUUAAUAGCUGCAAUUUUUGUACUAAGGUAGCAUAAUCAUUUGUUUUUUAAUUUUAAACUAGAAUGAAAGGUAAAACAAAUCAUUUCUUUAUUUUUUAUUUUAUUUUAACUUAUAUUAAAUAUAAAAAUAUAUUUUUUUAAAAAAAAGACGACAAGACCCUAUUGAACUUUACUUUAGUUUAGCUGGGGAAGCUAAAUAAUAAAUAUUUUAUUCUAAAUUUAAUAAAUGACCCAAAAUAUUUGAUUAAUUAAUCAAGUUACCAUAGGGAUAACAGCGCAAUAAAUUUUUAAAGUUCUUAUCUAAAAAUUUGCUUACGACCUCGAUGUUGAAUUAGAAAUCUUUAUUAAGCAAAAAUAAUAAAAGUAGGUCUGUUCGACCUUUAAAAUUCUACAUGAUCUGA
rnacentral:rRNA from 1 species